rnacentral:rRNA from 1 species
UACGUAGGGUGCGAGCGUUAAUCGGAAUUACUGGGCGUAAAGCGUGCGCAGGCGGUUUUGUAAGCCAGGUGUGAAAUCCCCGGGCUCAACCUGGGAAUGGCAUUUGUGACUGCACGGCUCGAGUGCGGCAGAGGGGGAUGGAAUUCCGCGUGUAGCAGUGAAAUGCGUAGAUAUGCGGAGGAACACCGAUGGCGAAGGCGGUCUGCUGGGCCAAGACUGACGCUGAGGCGCGACAGCGUGGGGAGCAAACAGG